rnacentral:rRNA from 1 species
AGAGAGAGACAUGCGCGCAUACAAUAAGCGGAGGAAAAGAAACUAACAAGGAUUCCCUUAGUAACGGCGAGUGAAGCGGGAAGAGCUCAAAUCUGAAAUCUUCAAGGUUCUACCUUGACGAAUUGUAGUUUAUAGAAGUGUUUUCUGUUAGUGGAGUGGCAAAAGUUCUUUGGAAUAGGACAUCAUAGAGGGUGAGAAUCCCGUAUUUGGUCAUUCCUCCUAGCGUUGUGAUACACUUUCAACGAGUCGGAUUGUUUGGGAAUGCAGUCCAAAAUGGGUGGUAAAUUUCAUCUAAAGCUAAAUAUUGGCGAGAGACCGAUAGCGAACAAGUACCGUGAGGGAAAGAUGAAAAGAACUUUGAAAAGAGAGUUAAACAGUACGUGAAAUUGUCAAAAGGGAAGCGUUUGACACCAGUGUUGUUUUCUCGAAAAUCGAUUAAGAAUGCUGGAUUUUGUGUUAGUAUUGACUUUAUCAGGCUUGCUGCCUUUCUUUCCGAAUCUUUCUUAACUGCACUUUUCGGUUAACAAGUCAACAUCAAUUUCUUUUGUUGUAAAAGGUCAUGAGGAAGGUGGCUUUCUUUUCGGAGAAAGUGUUUAUAGCCUUGUACCUCUGCAAUCGGAGAGAUUGAGGUCUGCAGCGUAGAUCCUUCGGGGUUAGAUACAUUUGUGCUAAGUUAUAGCCUUUCAUAGACAACUUGUUGACUAUGCUUAGUCUUGUAGCUUACUCGCUUAUGCUAUUUUACCUACGCUUAGGAUGUUGAUCUGUAGUGCGUGCGC